GACAGAGGGUGCAAACGUUGUUCGGAAUUACUGGGCGUAAAGCGCGUGUAGGCGGCCCUGUAAGUCGGGUGUGAAAUCCCACGGCUCAACCGUGGAAGUGCACUCGAAACUGCAGGGCUAGAGUCCUGGAGAGGAAGGUGGAAUGCUUGGUGUAGAGGUGAAAUUCGUAGAUAUCAAGCGGAACACCGGUGGCGAAGGCGGCCUUCUGGACAGUGACUGACGCUGAGACGCGAAAGCGUGGGGAGCAAACAGG
rnacentral:rRNA from 1 species